rnacentral:rRNA from 1 species
GAUGAACGCUGGCGGCGUGCCUAAUACAUGCAAGUCGAUCGUACAGACGAGGAGCUUGCUCCUCUGACGCUAGCUGCGGCCGGGUGAGUAACACGUGGAUAACCUACCUAUAAGACUGGGAUAACUUCGGGAAACCGGAGCUAAUACCGGAUCAUAUAUUUAACCGCAUGUUUCAAUAGUUAAAGACGUCUUUGCUGUCACUUAUAGAUGGAUCCGCGCCGCAUUAUAUAGUUGGUCAGGUAACGGCUUACCAAUGCAUCGAUACUUAGCCGACGUCAUAGGAUGCACGGACACACCGGAAUCGGGACACGGGCAAGAAUCCGUAGGUAGGCAGCAGUAUGGAAUCUUCCGCAAUGGGCAGAAGGCUGAGGGAGUAAAGUCGCGUAGUUAAGGAAGAUCUAAGGAUAGUAAAAAUCUGUUAUUAGGGAAGAACAAAGAUGUAAGUAAGAAUGCACGACAUGACGGUACCUAAGCAGAAAGCAACGGCUAACUACAUG